rnacentral:lncRNA from 10 species
AAACUGCCUAAGGAAACCUUGCCACGCAGACAUUCGUUUCCUCUGGCUUACCUCUACUCUCUCUCUCUCUCAUUGUUUCUCACUGUUGCUGGUUAAUCGCUUCAGGAGCUAAGGGGGGAAAUGGCGAUGGGGAUAAGGGUGGAGAUAAACAGUAUUUGAUGGGUCUGAAUGAAAAUCUGAUGAAACAGAUGUUACUUGAAGCUGAGUGACUUUCUCAGGGUCAAGCAAAUAAGUAAAUGGAGGAGCCAGAAUUAUACCCCAGGAUCCCCAUCACAAGGAGGGGAGGGCUACCAUCCCAGCUGCAAACUCUCAUUCAAGGUUUAUGCUGCAGCCAGCAGUGUCCUUGGAGUCUAGUUCAAAGCUGAAGAGAGUGAACCAUGGAACUGGGAGCCAUUGGCGGAGAGGCUGGCCUGAAGGAAGGGAAGUGUUUCAGCCAGAAUGUACUGACGCACAACCAGGAAACCACAAGACUGGUGAGAACCUUUCCAAAACUGAGCUUUAUGAUCAAAAGAGGUACAGGAAACAGCUCUGCCAAGAGUCCUUUCUGCUCCUGGCUGGAACCCUGAGCUUCUGAGGCUCUCUGAGUCAACUCUCUGAACAGAUGCUGUCACCCAAGGAACCAUCACUAAAGCAUUUUUUUGCUUUGCUCUGAGGUGGCCUCACUGGUGGGUGCAAGUGAGUUACUGUCUCUUUUUCUCUUUCUUGUUUCUUUCUUUUGACAGAAGUUGCCAUGUGAUUACUCAAUUCUGAAUUUUAGAGGCCAUAGGUUACUGCAUUUAUGCCCUUUGCCAACUGACUAUUGUUUGGUGCUGGGCCUGCAUACAAACACGACAUCCCCAAACUCUUAUCAAUACCUAGAUCACCUGAUGUGAAUCUAUCAAUACCCUGGACUUAACAGGGUAUUGAAGGAAAGAGAACCGGCAAUUCCUUCAUUUCUUACAUCCCAGCCAGUAGUCCUUCUCCCAGGCUAGUCUUCCUUUUGUUUCCCCUAAGAAUGACUCAACUAGGAAUUGCAUUCUGAUCCCUGUCACAGAUAUAAAUCUUGUCUGGAUACAAGGUCAAAAUAAUUGUGUUCCUGUGGAUUCUUUUUCUUUUUUCAACCAGAGUAACUACCAGUUGCCAUGAAAUAAAUCACAUCAUCAUAUGGCAGAUCCAGCUAAUAGCUGAGACUGGCAGGAUAACUGAACCGUGUACUCAGAGCUAAAUGAUGGAGAAAUUGGACUGGCCAUGGAGCACUUCAAAUUGAUUGCUUAGUAAUGGGAUAUUUUUCCUGGAAAGACAACAGAAUACUUCUGAAUUGUUGGUUCUGUCAUGGGUACAGGCUCCCAUGUACAGGAAAAUAAAGAAAGUGUGAUGAAUUUUUCAUCUGGCCUUCUGCCUACUUUCUUGCUUUCUGCAUGUCUCCAUUUUUAGUCUGUAAGCCCUGCCUAGAUGACCAAUCACUAUUGCCCAUGUGGCAUAAAACCUACAAUUUAACUAUACUUCUUACCAAACUCUCAGCAAGUAUGAGGUAGCCAACAGCCUUUUCAAGAUAAUGACUGAGUCUUAGCUUAGGUUUCAGUCAUUUUAGGAAACAUAAAAAAUUCAAUGGUGGGAGAUCAUACACACUCUGCAAAGAUGUCAGAAGUCAAGUUUUGGGAGAGUCCACACACAAACUGAGCAGUGAUGGUAAAAUAUAUUUUUGAAAUAUUUCUCCUCUGUGACUGUUAUGUGAAGUAGAGCAAACACAUUGUGCUGCAGUGCUCUUUGGGACAUGCCUUUUUUGGGAAGUGCUAACUUUAUACUCUGCUGACACCAAACAUUUGAAUAUAAAACCUUAUUUUUUUCUCUCACUCUGCUCCACUUUUGGCUCAGCUUAUUCUACCAAAACACACUUCAAAAGACUUCUUUAUAGAAAGAAUGUUUCAAAAAUAUAAUAUUUCCAUCUGUUAUUUCAAUAAUACAUGCUCUGGGACUCUCUUUAUGAACCACUUUCCUUUCUUUGCUCCCAUUUAGAUGUAUAAAUAUUUGAUUGUAAAGCUCUAAGGAAUAGUCAGCCAAUCGGGUCACUGAAUUGUGAACAUUCCUAACCCUAUAAUUUUGUCUGUAGCAGGCACCUCCUGCUGUGGAACUAACUGCUAAGGGAUUAUAGCAAUGUAAUCCUCAGACUGUUCCAUCUCAAGGUUACUCUGAAGUGGAGGGAAGGAAGCCGUUUUAAUUUUGAUAAAAUAAACUUUAUUUUGUAACUUUAUUAUUUGUUUUUCUUUUUCCUUUCAACACUUCAUAAUAGAUGUGUCUGGUAAUUUGAAGUUAGCCUCUCUGGUUGAGGUGCCCUAAACCACCUCGUAUUAUUGUA